UGAGGAAUAUUGGUCAAUGGGCGGGAGCCUGAACCAGCCAAGUCGCGUGAGGGAAGAAGGUGCUGAGCAUUGUAAACCUCUUUUGUCAGGGAGCAACGGCGUCCACGCGUGGGCGAGUGAGCGUACCUGAAGAAAAAGCAUCGGCUAACUCCGUGCCAGCAGCCGCGGUAAUACGGAGGAUGCGAGCGUUAUCCGGAUUUAUUGGGUUUAAAGGGUGCGCAGGCGGCCUGUCAAGUCAGCGGUAAAAUGUCGGGGCUCAACCCCGGCCGGCCGUGCAAUCUGGCAGGCUGCGGAGUGGAGUGAGAGGGUAUGCGGAAUUCGUGGUGUAGCGGUGAAAUGCAUAGAUAUCACGAAGAACUCCGAUUGCGAAGGCAGCAUACCGGCUCCAGACUGACGCUCAGGCACGAAAGCGUGGGUAUCGAACAGGAUUAGAUACC
rnacentral:rRNA from 1 species